AUGCUCAUGAUGUAUUCACACACACACACCUGUGUGACAAGAUGAGCCAGACAUCACUAAGUGUGAUGUUUAAGCCGAGCCCAGCGCAGAGUUGGCGGCAUCAAGAAGUCAAGCGAGCUGAACGACUCCUCAACCAUCAAGUAUCAGAACCACACAGCCUCAAACGAGCUCGACAGCUCUCCGAGAUGGAAACAAAGCACCUGCAGCGACGACUGCAAAUAAAUCUCGCUCACAGCCAAAAACGUCUAACACCUUUACCCCAGAUGCUGUUAUGCUACAAUCUCGAGUGGAUGCAUUUAUGAGGGCCCCAACCAUGGCCACUUCCCAUGGCCGUCCACGUGAUGGUGGAAGGGAUUUCACACUUUCAAAUCUAAAGGAAAAGUCGGUAAAUUCUGCCUUUGAAAAGGAGAAACAGGAAGACUCCCAGCAUCUCCAUUCACCAAACGAAAAUAUGUCACUCUCAGCUAAGCUGAACACAGAAGUGGAUGAUCCUACCCUUGAUGUUGAGAUGCUGGCGCCUGAUGGACAUCCACGCACACUGCUGUCUCUGCCUCCAUUUCCUGUGGCGUUGGAGCAGGCAUCGCGAGCUCGCUAUCUCCGACAUAGACACCCAACCUCCACUGAAAAGGCUCUUACACUGAGCCAAAUAUUUUCACACUAAUACAAAUGUAAUUUUCGUACAUUUGGUAUUCGCGUCAGUCUUAAAGCACAAGGCUAUAAUAUAAUCUGCAGUAGUUUCACAGUAGGUAGCAAUGUUGCUUUGUGUAUUUUUUUUAUUUGCAGGUAUUUUUUAAUUUUAAAAAAAUUUGACCGUGAUUCCAGCAAACAUUACACUCUUUUAGAAUGACAUCACAGCCUUUUUAGUGGUUAAUAUGCACUGCAGUAAUAACCAGUGGUUGUAGUUCUGGCAGGUAUAUGUCAUUUAUUAUAUUUUUGUAUUUGUCUAGAAUAUGAUUGUUUUGUUAUACAAAAUGACAGAAGCCAAUCUUAUUUUCCUCAUUAGUAGAUCUCAUAUGUGUAAUGACAGGGUGCCAUCUGUUGACCCGGAGGGAUAAUCACGGGUAUGGGUGCAUUAUACAAUAAUCAACUAUAAGGGGGGCAUAACUGGGCUAAAGGUUAAAGACGGGGUCAGUCGGGAAGCUCCAGGAACCUGCUCGAAGGUUCUAGAAAGGGGGCGUGGCCAGAGCUGGGGCCUGGCCACGCCGAGGAGUAUAUAAGGGGGACGUGACUGAAGGUUCGGGGGCUGUCGUGGGGUCCGGGUCCUGGCUGCCGUCGCUGUCUUCGCAGUCAUCUCUCCAUCAUCCGACCGCAUGGUCGAUCCUCUGUAUGGCUCCGAUCGUCGUUGUCGCUAUGUUAGUCAGCCAGCUGUAUAGUUACACUCCGACGAUGGGGCUGUAUGGAUGGGUCAGCUAUGCAUAGCCCAUAUAUAUAUGUCGCUCAGCGAUUGUGCCUGUAAGUGUGAGAAAUAAAUAAGGAGCCCUCUACAUGUCGUGUCUCGGAAGUCGCUGACUACAUAUGUAACGGAUGGAUUUGAUACAUUGUUCAAACACACAGACAGAGAGGUUUUAGUACAAACAAGUUCCUUAGUUAUAUG